GAAGGUGUGCUGUGAGGCAUGCUGGAGGUAUCAGAAGUGCGAAUGCUGACAUAAGUAACGAUAAAGCGGGUGAAAAGCCCGCUCGCCGGAAGACCAAGGGUUCCUGUCCAACGUUAAUCGGGGCAGGGUGAGUCGACCCCUAAGGCGAGGCCGAAAGGCGUAGUCGAUGGGAAACAGGUUAAUAUUCCUGUACUUGGUGUUACUGCGAAGGGGGGACGGAGAAGGCUAUGUUGGCCGGGCGACGGUUGUCCCGGUUUAAGCGUGUAGGCUGGUUUUCCAGGCAAAUCCGGAAAAUCAAGGCUGAGGCGUGAUGACGAGGCACUACGGUGCUGAAGCAACAAAUGCCCUGCUUCCAGGAAAAGCCUCUAAGCAUCAGGUAA
rnacentral:rRNA from 1 species